GAUGAAGAACGUAGCGAAAUGCGAUAAGUAAUGUGAAUUGCAGAAUUCAGUGAAUCAUCGAAUCUUUGAACGCACAUUGCGCCCGCCAGUAUUCUGGCGGGCAUGCCUGUUCGAGCGUCAUUUCAACCAUCAAGCCCCAGGCUUGUGUUGGAGCCCUGCGGCUGCCGCAGCCUCCCAAAACCAAUGGCGGGCUCGCUAUCACACCGAGUGCAGUAGUUUACUCUUCGCUCAGGGCGUGUGGCGGGUGCUAGCCGUAAAACCCCCAACUUCUCAAGGUUGACCUCGGAUCAGGUAGGAAUACCCGCUGAACUUAAGCAUAUCAAUAAGCGGAGGA
rnacentral:misc_RNA from 1 species